GGGGGUGACAUGGUUUCGACGUGGGUGCUGAAGCUAGUAGUCGCGUGUCGAGUUUGAUGCCGACUCGUAAAAAAGGCGUCAAAAUAGUAAUUGGAAACAAUUACGCAAUGGCUGCCUAAUUAAUUAGGUUCAGUCCGUGUCUCAGGAGUUCUCCCAUGAUUCUUGAAGACACGCCAUUUAGUGGGAUCGGAGUCUAUUGGCGCCUCAGCGUUAGAAGCCUAAAAAAUACUGAGACUAGUUCUAAGACAGCCGUGCCAGCAGGGAAGUUUUAGAGCGAAAAUUAAUCUGCCGGACAGACAUGUAGUGGCUACGGUCGAUCGCUUGCGGACGGGGGUUCGAUUCCCCCCACCUCCAUUC
rnacentral:tmRNA from 1 species